rnacentral:rRNA from 1 species
AUGCACGCUGGCGGCGUGCCUAAUACAUGCAAGUCGAGCGAACAGACGAGGAGCUUGCUCCUCUGACGUUAGCGGCGGACGGGUGAGUAACACGUGGAUAACCUACCUAUAAGACUGGGAUAACUUCGGGAAACCGGAGCUAAUACCGGAUAAUAUAUUGAACCGCAUGGUUCAAUAGUGAAAGACGGUUUUGCUGUCACUUAUAGAUGGAUCCGCGCCGCAUUAGCUAGUUGGUAAGGUAACGGCUUACCAAGGCAACGAUGCGUAGCCGACCUGAGAGGGUGAUCGGCCACACUGGAACUGAGACACGGUCCAGACUCCUACGGGAGGCAGCAGUAGGGAAUCUUCCGCAAUGGGCGAAAGCCUGACGGAGCAACGCCGCGUGAGUGAUGAAGGUCUUCGGAUCGUAAAACUCUGUUAUUAGGGAAGAAUAAAUGUGUAAGUAACUAUGCACGUCUUGACGGUACCUAAUCAGAAAGCCACGGCUAACUACGUG